rnacentral:lncRNA from 1 species
UUGCUAACUCAGGCCUGUAGUCAGAAAGCAAGGGUUUUUUGUGGUCAGGGUAGAACUGGAAUGUUUCUGGGAGAUAGAGGAUGAAAUAGUUCAGAGGCCUCCUUCUGUCACUAUCCUUCAAAUAUUCCUCCAGGGCAGAGAUUUAGUGUAAAGGAUGAACUGCAACAGAGAGACAGAGAUACCAGCAGGAUGAGAUGACAGCUUUUUCUCAUGGCCCUGUUAAUAGUUUCUACCAACACGGAAAAGGGAAGGGAAUAAUACUUUACAACAAUAUUGACUUCUUCUGUGAUCUUGGGAUGUUUGUUUCUUCUACAAUCCACCUUCUUUUGUCGUGUAACUUGAAGAUCUUCACGGUAUGGAUUAUCUCGUUUAAUGUGCAUCAACACAAAACUGAAUUGAUCUGCCUGCCUUUUUCUGGGAAAACGAGCUCCUCAUCCCAAGGAGUGGCCCCCUUCUGCUUCUCCUGUAGCACCACCAAGUGA